CCCCUCUCAGGAUCGCACCUGGAGAGAUUCCAAGUCCUCUACCAGUCUCUGCUACAGGAGGAAGAGUCAAGAAGGGGCAUACCCAUUCCAUUCCUAGCUUGGACAGUGGCUAGUGAGUGGAAGGCAAUCUGCCACAAGU